UUCAGGCCAUUGUUGGUUGGCCUGAGCUCAAGACUAUACAUGACGUUUGGAGUUUUCAUGGUUUAGCUACCUUUCAUUAUCGUUUCAUUAAAGGGUUUAGCAUGAUCAUGACUCCUAUUAUGGAGUGCAUGAAAAGAGGGGAAUUUUACUGGUCACACGAAGCGGCCAAAGCAUUUAAGUUGGUUAAGAGGCAAAUGACAGAAGCUCCAGUCAUGCGACUUCUCAAUUUUUUCAAAGUUUUUGAGGUAGAAUGUGAUGCCUCUGGGGUAGGGAUAGGUGGAGUUUUGAGCCAAGAGCGCCACCCUAUUGCUUAUUUCAGUGAGAAAUUAAAUGAUGCCAAACGACGGUACUCGACUUGUAACAAGGAGUUGUAUGCAGUCGUACAAGCUUUACGCUAUUGACGUCAUUACUUGUUACCCCAGGAAUUUAUUUUUUAUUCGGACCAUGAGGCACUUCGUUAUCUUAAUUCCCAAAAGAGAUUGAAUGCUAGGCAUGGUCGUUGAAUCGAGUAUUUGCAGGCCUACUCUUUUGUUUUGAAGCAUAAAAAGGGCGGUGAAAAUCAAGCGGCAGAUGCUUUAAGCUGCUGCAUUUCACUUUUAACCAAUAUGAGUGUCAAGGUCAUAGGUUUUGAACGACUCAAAGAAGAUUAUGAGUCAUAUCCCGAUUUCAAGGACAUUUUCCUUGCAUUGCAAAGUGGACAAUUUGAUGCUAUUGAUGGUUUUCGUCUAGAGGAUAGUUAUCUUUUUAGGUCUAAUAAAUUGUGCACCCCUCGGACUUCAAUACGAGACUUUAUAGUUUGGGAAAGUCAUGCAGGAGGCCUGGCUAGGCAUUUUGGACGUGAUAAGACAAUCGAAGAGGUUGAACAUCAAUUUUAUUGGCCUCGUUUGAAGACAGAUGUAGCUAAGAUUGUUAGUGCUUGUAACUCUGUCAGUUGGCCAAACAGAAGAGACAAAACACUGGUCUUUACACACCUCUUCCCGUCCCUAAUUGUCCUUGGCAAGACGUCAGUAUGGAUUUUGUACUAAGACUCCCACGUACUCCAAAGAAACAUGAUUCUAUUUUUGUUAUAGUGGAUCGUUUCUCGAAAAUGGCCCGCUUUAGCCCUUGCAGCAAGACUUCAUAUGCGUCUAAGGUUGUUAGGCUGUACUUUAAUGAGAUUGUUAAAUUGUAUGGUCUUCCUAAGACCAUUGUGUCGGAUAGGGAUGUUCGGUUCACUAGCUACUUCUGGAGAACCUUAUGGCACAUGGUUGGCACUAAGUUGAAAUUUUCCACUGCAUAUUAUCCUCAGACCGAUGGUCAAAUUGAAGCUGUUAAUCGCAGUCUUGGUAACCGAUUAAGAUGUCUAGUUCAGGAAAAUAUGAGGAACUGGGAUUUAAUCCUCCCGAUAGCCCAAAUUGCAUAUAACAGUUUUGUGCAUCGGUCUUUAGGCAUGAGUCCUCUUGAAGUUCAUGGCUAUAAACCUAGGAAGCUUUUAGAUCUUAUCUCUAUGUCCCCACAUGCUAAUGUGUCUGUGUUAGCUGAGGCAUUUGUACAUCUUCAUGACUUGCAUAUUGAGAUCAAUAAACAAUUAGAGGCAAAUAAUGCAUCAUAUAAACUUUGAGCUGAUUUGCAUAAACGACAUGUUGAAUUUAAUAUUGGGGAUUAUGUGAUGAUCCGAAUUAGGCCGGAACGGCGUCCAUCUGGAUCUGCUUCCAAAUUGCAAGCCCGUAGCGCUGGUCUUUUUAAAAUUUUAAAGCGUGUUGGUUCAAAUGCGUAUGUCAUUGAUCUUCCAUCACAUUUUGGCUACUACUCUACUUUCAAUAUUGAGGAUUUAGUUGCUUAUAAAGGCCAUUUUAAGCCCUCUAAUGAUCAUUUUCUACCCCCAUUUGUUGACCCUCAACCCGAACCUGUUGCUACCCCUACUUCAACAUCCCCUAUCACAAUACCCAAAGAAAAGAUUGAUACUAUUUUAGAUGAACAGAUGAUGUUGACUAAUGAUGGAGAAAUUCAGCGCUUUCUUGUUCAUUGGGUAGGCCGACCUGACUCUGACUGUACAUUGAUAUUUAGAGAGACCCUCCAACGGCUUGAUCGUGACUUGUUGGAGCUUUAUAAGAGUCAGCAUGAUCUCCCAUUGCCCAGAUCACCUAUCACACGUGUAUAUGGACGUCGAAAGAGGUUUGUCCAACCACUCAGCUUAUGGUUGGGCAACUAAUUGCAGCCUUUUGUGAGUUGUUCUCUCGAUAAAGUCGAGUUUUCUUCCGCUCCGGGAGAGUUGAUGAGAAUAUCAACUUUGGACUAUUUAGUUUAGUAUUUUAUUUGGGCUUGUAAUAUGUUUUUGUAUUGGCCCAGGCCUUUUUUAUUUUGCUUUGGGCUUGUAUAGUGUUUGGGCUGGCCCAAGCCCAAUCUCUUUGUUUUGUAUAUUAUAUAUAUGUAUGCAGCCUGUUGCAUGGAUAGAGAGAUUGAUGGAAACGAAAUGAAAAUUGGAGUGUUGCGGGCAUUCUCUCCUUUUCCACCGCCCCUCCUCUUCUCUUCUUCUCCUACUUCUUUCUCUUUCUUUUAUCUGGUUUCUACUUCCCUCUCUUCUCCUUCCAUGUGAUUGCUCCUAUGUUUAUGUUAUGCUACAUCAAUAUUCACCAUCCAAACGGCCCCAUGCAUAUGGCAUCUGAAAUCUGCCCCCCAUUCUGAUAGCUUAACAAUGCCCGAUUCGUAGACAAACACUACGAACUCUUUAGCCUCAAUUCUAAAUCUAGAAUUGUAGACCAUACCAUUUGCGUGAAAUAGUUUUCCUUGCUUUUGAUCAGACGAUGCAUCAGAUGAUAAAUCCGGAUGUAGGGGUGUACUGGUCGCUGCUGGAGGAAUCAGCAGCCUCGUUGGCUGUGACGCGUGUUCCGCCCGCACACGCUCGGCCAGAUCAGCGCGAGACCGGCGCCACUGCCUGGCCGGCAUCAGAACGGCCUGCACGACCGGCCGCGAAGGAGCGUGUGGCCGAAGGAUUGCCGGAGGGUGGGUGGAUGAUGGUUGCCCGGUUUUCUUCUCAAACUGUUGAUCUGGUGCGUUUUGGCUAGGGUUUUGUGGCGUGAGGCCGGUAGGGUUGUCGGUCAUGAAGCCCAGGACGGUAGGAGUCGGCGGUUGCUGGGGAUAUUUGGAUGUGGUGGGAGGUGCACAGAAUGCUUUCUAGCUUCAAAAAAAGAAUUCAAAAAUUAUAGGUUCAGAGCCAAAUGAUAUGAAUCCCAAAAGAUUGAGAUGGUUUAUACUAAUUAUUACGCUUCAAGGGCUUAAUUAAAUGUAAAGGACCUCAAGUCUGUAGGACUUCUGGGUCUUUCCAUCUAUUGAUUCAAACAAUUUGUCUGUGUCAUGGCACUCAUCUCAUAUCUAAUUUCUUGAUAUGCUCCUUCCCACCUUUCUCUCACUCUGUAGAUCAAUCUAUUUUCUACGAGGUGGUUUCUCUAAAGAAUUUUAUUCUAUCGAUCUCUGAUUCAGGAGGUUGUUUCCCUAUUAUCUGAUAAUUCACUGUAAUGCAUUUCAGCAUUCGUGAUUAUGAACCAAAUAGAUUUAGGAUUUAUCAAGUUUGCUCGAGAAUUACCCGUCAACAUUUAUUAAUCCAAGAUCCAUUUCUGGUAUGAUUUUCUCAGGCUACACUUCUACAUUUUUAUUGGUUUACAUUAGGUGCUUCUUAUAUUGAGACACGGAGAUUUCUGUUGUCUGGCAUGAAAUAUAAACUUUUAUCAAAUUAAUCACUUCAAGUCCUUGCAAGCUGAAGAUUAUGUAUGAAGGUGCUGUAAUGAAGCAUAAUUUUAAUAUUCAGUCCUUUUGUUUCAAAAAAAAAGAGAGGAUACCCGUCUUUUCAGGUUGAGAGGUAAUUUAGUUACAUUACCAUCAAUUGAUGACAGAUUCUUUUGUUUGAUGAAAUCGAACUGUACCAGCAAUCAUAUUGGUAAAGGAUGGAGCUUAAUGCCAUUGUUUUGUGGCAAAUUAAGUGCAAUGAAGCUCAAAUCUUUAAUCUAGUGCCAUUGAACUAUUGAAAAAACAUGUAACUGCUUACGAUAGUUUUGAUGACAUUGAAUAUAUUGUUCAAGAAAUGUCAGAACCUUGAUUGGCCGCAUGUUGUUUCCUCCAAAUGUAAGCCAAUGAUAAGGUUUUCUUCAUAGUCUGUUACUGUUCUUUCUUCAAUUUCCAUCUCAAGGUAUAAUUAAAGUCUGUUUCAUGUCAACUACGGGGAGCAGAAAAUUGCUUAUAUUCAUUUGCCCGCUCAGGUGAUUGGCAUUGCUUUGGCCUCCCGUUCUUCGUACGUAGAGAAUGUUCAUCCAUUUGCUAGGUGUUAUCCUUGAUUUCAUUUGUUUACUGUUUCUUCAGAACCAUGAUCUAUUCUUCAGUCUAUCAAAAUGGCGUUACAUUAUCCUGAAAUAUUGAACAUAUUUGGCAUACCCUCUUUGAAAUUUUUAGUACAGUAUAUUUAGCAAUCAGCAAACAAAUGUAAUUUCGAGAUGUUGCAUUUGACUGAUGCUUAUCUACUUGUAGCUGAAGUACUGUACUCAGAAUUUUUUGAUUGGUGCUUUUUGGUGCAGCCUGGGUGAGGCACAACAAAAUUGACUCAGGGUGUUUGGAGAAAGCUUAUGCCCCACAUGGUGAAGCUUUUUCCUAUGGCUUGUCACCCAGGGGAUUGAGGCAUGCCUUUUACAUGGCUCUGCCCGAGGAAUUGGAGUUUAUACCCAUAAAACUAAUAUUUAUAUUCAAGGUCCAAUCCUACUUUAGUUUGCUUUUAAAUUACAUAAAAGCCACUAAACAAGCUCACUCUGUUUCGCACUUUCACUAAUCACCCACAGAUGAGGAUGAUAGUAUUAACAUUUUACUAAAUAAACUAGGGUUUCACUUAUCACCAACAGAUUAUGAUGAUAGUAUUAGUAUUAAUAUUUUAACAACUAAACAAACUCACUCUGUUUCACUUAUCAACAGAUUGUGAUGAUAGUAUUAGUAUUUUACUACCCGAUCAAUAAUGCUACAAGACUAACAGUUACCAUUUAAGUGCAUCAGGUCCACAAGGAAAAAAAAAAAAGAAAGAAGAAAGAAGGAAAAAAAAAGAAAAGAAAGAAAGAUGAAGGAAAUAGCAAGUCCUUAAUCUAACAUAAAUUAUCAUGGGAACAUAUUUGUUAAAUAUGCCAAAUCUUUAAUGAUAUUACCAUAGUGCAAUCUGUUUUAUUUAAAAUUUUAAAACUGAAGGUACUGACAUAGGUAAAGGUAUGCAUUUUAUCUGAUUGCUGUCUAGAAAUGAUGAACAUAGACGUGGUUUUGGAAAAUAGAGACUUGAUUUAGAUGCUAUGAUAGGAGAACUUGGAAUAACUACCGGUUAACUAUAUGACGUUUGACGCUGCACAUUGUAUUCUUAAUGCAAGUAGCAUUUUUUGCUUUGCUAUUUAUUGGGAGUUUGUUAGUUUUUUUUAUUUUCUUGAUAGAAUUUCUAGUUCAAUUAGGAGUAGUGUUUCAUUACAGGAUUUCUAGUUCAUUUUAAAAAUAGAAUGUUUUCUCUUUCCGUUUACUUCUUCUUUGCCUAUAUAAGAAGAGGGCUAGGUUGCUUUUUAAUCUCUGAAUUUGAUAUCUUCAAUUAUUCUACUAAGAAUCUUGAGCUUUUCCUGUCUUUUUACAAGACCUAUAUUCUGCUGCUGCACCACUCUGUUUAUUCUCAGAAACUAAAUUGAACUAGUCCUUGUGUAUAACUUCUCUGUGGCAUUCUUUCAGUUUGGUAUGUAUUCAGAUGUCUUAUAAUCUUGCACAAAUCUUCUCUGCAAUUUCUACCCAAUAAGUUUCCAUAGUUUUGUCAGCAAUUUUUAUUUAUCUAUUUAUUUAUUUUUUAUUAGUAAUUGAUUUAUUUCAUGAAAUAUUUAAAGUAAAAAAUUUAUGAUGCAUAUGCUUCGUGCUGUAUGCCCUGCUCUGUGAGAUGUGGAGCGCCUUCCCUUACACCUUUGCCUUGUUAAACACUACUUGCACCUUGAGUAAAGAUAUGCUGUAAGUUUGUAACUGUAUAAGAUGAAAGCCUCUUCGUGGGAAAAAGAUUGGUAAUGAGUGGAGAAAGUGUAUUGGAAAUGUUGGAAAGCCCCAUUAGCCAUGAAGUAAGGAAAGUCAUAGAUGGAAGAGUUGAAAAUUGGGAAAAGGAAUGAUAUUAGGAGUCCAGCUAACUGCUUUUAGUCCUGGUUCUUCUUCUACUUGUCUUUCCUUUUCCAACUGUCCGUAUGUGUGGAAAGAUGGUAAAUGUAUCCAGAAUUUUAGGAUGGUAUAUGUAUCCAGAAUUUUUUUGUUUUUGGAUUGCUAAGGACUUUCUAUUGAUGUGAUGAAUAAAUUCUACUUGUUUCCUGAGCUAAAUUUAAAAGAAAAAUUUUCAAAUGCCUUCUUGAUUGUGCUUGAUAGAACUCUUGAUUUUUAAUCUUUCAUCUUGGCUUGAGAUGAGAACGAGGAUCAGUAGUGAAGGUAUAUGUGUGAGUGUGGAUCUUGUCUAUGGAUUGCAACUCCUCAUCACAAAUUUUUUAACUAAUAUUUUGACAUCGAAAAACAUACAUUAAAAAUUAAAAUCACUAUAAUUGUCAACUACAUGCGGAACAAUCCUUUGCCAUUGUAAUGCCAAAAACCCAAUAGCCAAAUAUAAAUUCGAGAUAAAAGGAUAGAUGUAAUAUCAAGAGUCACCUCAUCCUGUUAUGCUGACUAUAUUACAAGGCAGCUAAAAAUGUAAAUGAAUCUGAUCAUAAUGAGUUAAUAACUUAAUAUCUACUUAGAACUGCAUUAUUAUUUCUGGGAAUUUAUAUUAGGAUUCAGUGGUAUUAAGUUGACGAUAGAAGUAUACGUCCAACUGAAAAUAUCCAUGCAAUUCCCAUCAGUGAUGUAAUAAUGCCAAAAUUUCUGAAAUUCAUUAAUUCGUUGGUUUUGUUAAGUUCUCAGAUUUCAACUUCCCAUGUAUUAUGAUGCUACUUUGAUAAUCACACCUGGUGACUUGCACUUCACAGGUAAGAGGUUGCUUCGUAUGUAGGAAGUUGCGAACUACUGUCAUCUCUUCGAUAUGUCCCAUGGUCUAGAAGAAUAUAGGAACACGGAAGUGACAAAACAGAAUUUUAAUAAUGCCUGUCAAAGGACAUGACAGACGGAGAUGAUCCAACGCUGCCUUGCCUGUGAAAUCCUUAUUGCAACUUGCAACCCCGAUCUGCCUGCUGGUUUCAUUUUUAGGCAUCUCUACCGCCAGUGUUCAACCGAAUGACUGGGAUCAGGUGGCACAUUGGAACUGCUACAACAGAGUUGAGCCUCUUGGAGUAUCUCGAUCUGUACCAACUGCAUCAUGUGAGGCCUGUUACCAUAAAUUGGAUUAGGAAUUGGAUUGGAUGUCAUGGAUAAUAAUUAUAAGAUGGUUUGUUAUGGAAUUGUUGUCAUACUUCGGCAGUGAGAUUUUUAUGACACCACUUUUGAAAGCGAGAUCAACAAUGACGAACAUUAAUUGCGUAAAUGGAGUUUCAAAUAAUGAUUUUUUGCAGAAUGUGUAGUUAAUAAGUAAGGAAAUGUUUGGGUUUACAUGUACAAUAUUUUAUUUUGUGAAUGCGUGGUUGAAAAUGGGUAUAUAAAAAAGGAGUUUUGGAAUAAUGGUUGUUAAAUAGGGGCUUAGUUGGUGGAAGCAUACCAUGUGAUUCAUAUCAUUACCAUGGAAAUGCCUAUUAUCCUGCUAAAAUGAAUUCGGAUAAUACCUUCCUCGGCACACUUUUGGUAUGGAGGAUUGUACACCACGAUAAAAUCUUGUUCACUAUUUUUACAGUAUUUUCUAGUAUUACUUACCAAACAUGCACUUAAUGGUAAGCAUUCGCUUAUCUGCACAUAGCUGCAAUGGUUGCUAGAAAAAGAAGACUUGUAGUUGAUUGUUUGAACGAAAAAUAAUAAUAAUAAUAUUAUAAACCAUUAAACCUUAUGAAAUUCCAAGCCAAUCCUUCU